GAUGAACGCUGGCGGCGUGCCUAAUACAUGCAAGUCGAGCGAACAGAUGAGGAGCUUGCUCCUCUGACGUUAGCGGCGGACGGGUGAGUAACACGUGGAUAACCUACCUAUAAGACUGGGAUAACUUCGGGAAACCGGAGCUAAUACCGGAUAAUAUAUUGAACCGCAUGGUUCGAUAGUGAAAGACGGUUUUGCUGUCACUUAUAGAUGGAUCCGCGCCGCAUUAGCUAGUUGGUAAGGUAACGGCUUACCAAGGCAACGAUGCGUAGCCGACCUGAGAGGGUGAUCGGCCACACUGGAACUGAGACACGGUCCAGACUCCUACGGGAGGCAGCAGUAGGGAAUCUUCCGCAAUGGGCGAAAGCCUGACGGAGCAACGCCGCGUGAGUGAUGAAGGUCUUCGGAUCGUAAAACUCUGUUAUUAAGGAAGAACAAAUGUGUAAGUAACUAUGCACGUCUUGACGGUACCUAAUCAGAAAGCCACGGCUAACUACGUG
rnacentral:rRNA from 1 species